rnacentral:misc_RNA from 1 species
UCUCCGUUGGUGAACCAGCGGAGGGAUCAUUACAGGAUCGAAAGACUCCUAUAACCCCUGUGAACUUACUACAAAUACGUUGCUUCGGCGGGUGCCCCGGGUCUCCCGGGGCGUUCAGCCCGCCGGCAGCCUUCAAAUUCUGUUUCUUUGCGUUGGCAUCUCGAGUAUACAAAAAUAAGUUAAAACUUUCAACAACGGAUCUCUUGGUUCUGGCAUCGAUGAGGAACGCAGC